UACUAUUAUAUAAAGGAGAAGUGAUGGAUAGAGAUGUAAUUUUACAUGGUAUACAACUUUCGAAGCAAUAUGUACAAGAUACUUCAAGCCAUUUGUGAGGGGUAUUUUAAGACACCUAGGGGUAAACUAGGGUUUUCACCCAUUGAAUUGAAUGGGAUUCGAUGCUGGCCUGCAAAUAUGAACCGUCUCACCUUCAUACCCACACACCGUUACAAAUCUCUCCUCAAAUUCUCUACGAAACACCUCAUGAAACCCUUCAUCAUCCAAACGCACAAGCGCAUCUUCAUAAUCAUCUUCUGCUUCCAAAUUGUGUUGGAUUCCUCCCAAAUCUUCUACCUAGGGUUCCGAUUGAGAAUUCAAGAGGCAUGUUUUUGGAUUUGAUUAUGUUUGGUAAUGAUGAUAAUCGAAUGAGACUGAUCUAUACCCGUGUUUCGAAGGUGUAAUCGAUGUUUAAAAAGACGGAUUGAAACAACCCCUCUUCAUCUCGCCAGAACCCUAAUCGAUUCGUCAACCACCACAUCUGCAGGAAUCAAGCAUAUUUCUAUAGUCAAUUGGAGCUUUAUAAGCAUGUGAUUAAGGAUUGCAAUAAGGCGCUUCAAAUUGAUUCUACUCUUCUUCAAGUUUAUACCCUAAAAAGGUUUUUUGUUCUUAUUUUGUUUUAAGUUGUUGAUUGAAUGAUUGAUUACCUUUGUUAAUUAACAUGGGCAAUUAGAUGUUUGCAAUGUUAACAAGAUACUGAUCUUAUUUGUUUUUACUGUGAUUAGUGUCCUCGAUUUCAGUUCUAUUAACUGGUCGAGAAAUAAGAAAUUAAUUUCUUUGAUCUUCUCAUGUUACUACCAAGUUUAAAGUCUAAACAAUGUCUAUGGUCGGCAAGCAUUGAUAGACGAUCUCAAGAACGAUGACAUCCAACUACAGUUGAAAUCAUAGUUAUUAAAGGCGCUGAGCGCACUUAAGGCGCAUAGGCCUCGCCUGGGGCCUAGGCGCAAAGCGCAAAUAAAGCGAGGGCCUGAGAAAAAUUAAGCGCAUAAUGAAAAAAAGUUAAACUAUAUUAUGUAUUAGAAAAAGAAUUUAAAUAAAAUAAACAAAAACUAUUAUAUAAAACUAUAUAUCAUCUAUUAAGAACCAAAAGUUCUAAAAAUAUUAGUGUAUUAGUGUAGAAAAGUAGUUUUCCUUGAAUAAAAUUAGAAAUUUGGCUAGAAUCUUGUCGGAAUUUAGAGAAUUUGGCCGGAAACUCUCCGGGAUCUAGGAAUCUCGCCGGAAUCUGCGCCUGAACCAUCACCUAGAGAAUUAAAGCGCAACUAACUCGCCUCGCCUGAAAAAUGGGCCUAGGCGCAAGAGGCGAUGGCUUUUAACAACUAUGGUUGAAAUCAAUUAAAAGACUAUCAAAAAUUGAUAGGUGAUGAUUGUUCAGGGACAUCAAUCGGCACGAGUAAUGGUUUUUUGGAAUUGAGCAUAGGUAUAAUUCCAUUAGAAAUUCAUUAAAUUUGUUCAUUCAUUAUCAUCUUGGUUAUUUCAUUUCUUUCAUAUUAGUUUCAAGAUCGAAUCUUUCAUAGUCUACUUGGUGUUUUCAUCACCACGGGAAAAGAUUACCAGUUAACGUUACUGAUAUAAACAAAAACAGAAUCAUGAAACUGAAAAAAGCUUACCUAAGUACUUGCCGGAACCCUAGCAUUGACCAGAAUCUGAUUUGUCACUUAAUCGAUUCACCAUCACUGCAGCGAAUUGGAUCUUAAUCUAUAUAUUAGACAGGUAUCGAGAACCUGUUGUUUCCGUCCUAUCACCGAUGCCGACAAUUGAAGCUGUUACCCAUGUAGUUAUAAGAUAAUUGAUUAUGAUUGUUAUGUUGUUAGUAUGACUGGCUGCAGAUACAGGUGAAUUGAUUUAGUUUUGAUCCGGCGUAAGACAUUGAAUAGGAGCAAACGUGCUAUUAUCUAACCCGUAUAAUACAAGUCAAUCAUCAGCUUCAAAAUGACAACUUACAUUAAACUCCGCCUCGGUAUUGCCCUUCAACUGAGGACAAGAGAUGAAGGCGCACCUGUCUGAUAACUCUGCGAUGCAGCGAUGCCAAUGACCCUUCUGUUCAAAAAUCAUAUGGGUUAAACAUUAUUCAGAACUUGGGGUGUUAAAUGGGGCAUGUUUCCGGAUUGGCUUCAGAACUAGGGGUGUUAAGUGUAAAUUGUUCGAUCUUUUUUACGAAAAUAUCCGGUUAUGCAGAUGGUUCUUCUGUUAUUUGGGUCUCUACAGAUCUUGCUGACUAUGACUGUAAAGCCGGCAACAAGCUACAAGAAAUUGUUUGAUCUUUUUUACGAAAAGGCUCGUGCAUGUGUUGAAGUCUACAAACGGUUGUCGAAAUCUGCGGGUGGCAACCCGGAUAUGAGCCUAGAUGAACUACUUGCUUCACUUGUUCGUUCAAUGAGUGGGAGUAAAAACUUCCCCAUGGUGUGUCAAUCCGGGACUUGAUCAAAGCAUUAAAGACAAAUAUGCCGCUAUCGAGAUUAUAGCCAAAAAGUGGACACUUUACCAAGGCUAUGGAGGUUGAAGCUAAAAAGAUGAGAAGGGAGGCAGCUGCAGUGGAGGAGGUAUCUGCUACGUGUGUCGACAAAGAACAUGCUUAUUGCAGAAAGUAUGAGUGAAAUCUGAUAUACAUGACGCAGGGUUUGGGGCCAUAAUUGAGGAAUUGUGGAAGGAACCGGCAUGCUUACCAAAAAUGGUAGUCAAACUGAUAGUAAAAAACAGUUUCAGCCUGGUCUUGAUAAAAUGACGAGUGGAGAAGAUACCCGAACAACUUUGAUGAUUAAAAACAUUCCUAACAAUUAAGACAAAGAUAUCAUUUUGAUUAUUAUUGGCAUUUACAGAUUGAUAGUGAUGUUCACGUUCUGGUGUUAACAAAAAAAUCUGUGGAGACGUUCAAACCA